AUGGGUGAGCGGAAGGUGCUGAACAAGUACUACCCGCCGGACUUCGACCCGGCGAAGAUCCCGCGGCGGAAGCAGCCUAAGAACCAGCAGAUCAAGGUGCGCAUGAUGCAUCCCAUGAGCAUCCGGUGUGGCACCUGCGGCACCUACAUCUACAAGGGCACCAAAUUCAACUCGCGCAAGGAGGACUGCAUCGGCGAGACAUACUUGGGCAUACAAAUUUUUAGAUUUUACUUCAAGUGUACUAGGUGCUCAGCUGAGAUUACCUUCAAAACAGACCCCCAGAAUUCAGACUACACGGUGGAAUCUGGGGCUAGUCGUAAUUUUGAACCUUGGCGUGAAGAGGAUGAGGUUGUGGAUAAAGAGAAGAGGAAGCGAGAAGCAGAGGAGAUGGGCGAUGCAAUGAGAGCACUGGAGAACAGAGCAAUGGAUUCAAAGCAGGACAUGGACAUACUUGCCGCUUUAGAAGAGAUGCGAUCGAUGAAGUCUAGACAUGCUGGAGUCUCCGUUGACCAGAUGCUUGAAAUUUUGAAGCAUUCCGCUCAUCAAAAGGAGGAAAAAACAGUAGCAGAACUAGAUGAAGAAGACGAAGAACUCAUCAAAUCAAUCACUUUCAACUCGAAAGAUUAUGUUAAACGGAUCGAAGACGAUGACGAUGACGACGAUGAUGACAAUUUUGGUAUACCAGGACAGUCAAGUGUCACGUCAAAGCAGAUUAAUGGAUCAUCUGAAUCAAUGACGAAUCCUACAGAUGUCUUGACCAAAGCUAAUGGACCUGAGAGUGCCAAUAAAGAACCGAAGAAUUUGACUCUCAACAGCGCAUCCGCUGAGCCGCACAAGAGCGUCCAUGCUGCUAGUAGAGGGCUACUCGUGGAGAGGUCAUUGUGA
rnacentral:rRNA from 1 species